rnacentral:rRNA from 1 species
AGAGUUUGAUCCUGGCUCAGAACGAACGCUGGCGGCGCGCCUAACACAUGCAAGUCGAGCGCCCCUGCAAGGGGGAGCGGCGGACGGGUGAGUAACGCGUGGGAACCUGCCCUGGAGUUCGGGACAACCGCGGGAAACUGCGGCUGACACCGGAUACGCCCCGUGAGGGGGAAAGUUUACGCUCUGGGAUGGGCCCGCGUCCGAUUAGCUAGUUGGUGGGGUAAUGGCCCACCAAGGCUGCGAUCGGUAGCCGGUCUGAGAGGAUGAUCGGCCACACUGGGACUGAGACACGGCCCAGACUCCUACGGGAGGCAGCAGUGGGGAAUCUUGGACAAUGGGGGCAACCCUGAUCCAGCGACGCCGCGUGGGUGAUGAAGGCCUUCGGGUUGUAAAGCCCUUUUCCUGGGGACGAUGAUGACGGUACCCGGGGAAUAAGCACCGGCUAACUCCGUGCCAGCCGCCGCGGUAAUUC